UAAGGACUGAAAACGAAAAAAGAAAAAAAGAAAAAAGAA
rnacentral:ribozyme from 14 species